UACGGAAGGGGGCUAGCGUUGCUCGGAAUUGACUGGGCGUAAAGCGCACGUAGGCGGCUUCUUAAGUCGGUGGUGAAAUCCUGGAGCCUACACUCCAGACUGCCUUCGAUACUGGGAGCUCGGAGUCCGGGAGAGGUGAGUGGGAACUGCGAGUGUAGAGGUGAAAUUCGUAGAUAUUCGCAAGAACACCAGUGGCGAAGGCGGCUCACUGGCCCGGUACUGACGCUGAGGUGCGAAAGCGUGGGGAGCGAACGAGG
rnacentral:rRNA from 1 species